ACAGAGACCAAGGCCCUAUGGAGGAUCCUACCCAGGUUUAUGAUGACUAUGGCAUUGACUGGAAUGGACCACACAGUCUGGAUGGAGGCCUGGUGUCAGUCCCUGAGGUUCAAUUGGCACGUGAGCUCUCGGAAGAAGAACUUAACAUGUUGCCACCUGUAGGAGUGUCUGUAUCUGAUGCAAUACAGUGUUAUUUAGAAACCGUUGAAAUUGUGUGCAGCAUGACAACAACAAACUGAUGCAAAACUUGAGAUUUAUUAAACUCUUUGAGAACAACAGCCAUUGAAAAUGAAUGUUAUUCACAUAAUCAGCAGUCCCUGGGCCAGAACAGAUGUUUGUGAACAGUAAAUUCUUUGGGACGCCCUCUAUGAACUUAACUGAGCUGACAUGGAUGCUACAUGCAGGGAAUUCUUUUAAAAAGUAAAAAAUUAAAGUAGCCCAAAUCCUGUGUCUGCAGUAUUUAUGGAAGAGAGAAGUGCUUUUUCAAAUUCACUGUAUGUUGUGAAAUGAUGUGGCAGCUUCAAUGUUUCGAAGCAGGUGGCAGAGGUGGGAAGGGUCCUUUCUGAAAUCUCCAGCCUCAAUUCAGCAGGAAGCCUCUCCCAGCCAACCCAGAAUUUCACCAAUUGAGCCAGAGUACCUGGUGAAGCUAAAACAAAUACAUGGAAUUAAAUCAGAAUGGCUUGCAAAAGUGUACACUCCUUCAAAUGUUGAUUAUUUUGCCACAUCAACAAAGUUUAUCCAAUAAACAUACAUCAUUUAUGAAAGCAAAUUUAUUUGUGCAUGUCAACGUUUUCAGUUGCAGUUGCUCUCAGUGCAUAAUUGUCUUUAGUUGAAUGGCAAAAUCAGCUAAUGAUCUAAAUGGACAGUCACCCAAAACAUACAGCUAGUAACAUACAGAACUAGUAAAAGUGGCUUAAAGACAAAGACAAUGUUUCAGUAACCACAACCUAACAGUAAUUGAGAUAUAAUAAACAGAAUACUAAAUCACAACGCCCUCAUCUAAAUCCUAUUUAUUUUUAAUGGGCAAAGCUGAAACAGUAUGUGUGUAUGUAGGAUAGCCUUCACACACAGUUCUCUCAGGAGUAAUGGGUCAAGAAACAGUCCACCUUAUUCCUGGAAAUAACAGUUGUCAACCUGUAGUAAAAUAUGAAAUUGCAUAGGAUUUUUCUCUGUGUUUGCAAUAACCAGUUUGACAUAUAGCCAGAAGUCUAUGGUGACAAGACAUCUAUGGUAAUAAAACAUUUGAUGUGUUUACUUAUAAACCACUUAAAAUGAAUGUAAAAUGAACCAGAGCACAAAACUGAUAAUUCCAUCAA